UGCUUAACACAUGCAAGUCGAACGGUAGCAGGCCCUUCGGGGUGCUGACGAGUGGCGGACGGGUGAGUAAUACGUAGGAAUCUACCUUAUUGAGAGGGAUAGCCUAGGGAAACUUAGGGUAAUACCGCAUAAGCCCGAGAGGGGAAAGCAGGGGCUCGCAAGACCUUGCGCGAUAAGAUGAGCCUACGUCGGAUUAGCUAGUUGGUGGGGUAAAGGCCUACCAAGGCGACGAUCCGUAGCUGGUCUGAGAGGACGACCAGCCACACUGGGACUGAGACACGGCCCAGACUCCUACGGGAGGCAGCAGUGGGGAAUAUUGGACAAUGGGCGGAAGCCUGAUCCAGCAAUGCCGCGUGUGUGAAGAAGGCCUGAGGGUUGUAAAGCUC
rnacentral:rRNA from 1 species